UACGAGAGGCCCAAACGUUAUUCGGAAUUACUGGGCUUAAAGAGUUCGUAGGCGGCGCAGAAAGUAGGGUGUGAAAGCCCUCGGCUCAACCGAGGAAUUGCGCUCUAAACUACUGUGCUUGAGGAAUCUAGAGGUGAGCGGAACAAGUGGUGGAGCGGUGAAAUGCGUAGAUAUCACUUGGAACGCCAAUGGUGAAAACAGCUCGCUGGGAAUGAUCUGACACUGAGACGCGAAAGCCAGGGGAGCGAACGGG
rnacentral:rRNA from 1 species